UGCAGUCGAGCGGUAGAGAGGUGCUUGCACCUCUUGAGAGCGGCGGACGGGUGAGUAAUGCCUAGGAAUCUGCCUGGUAGUGGGGGAUAACGCUCGGAAACGGACGCUAAUACCGCAUACGUCCUACGGGAGAAAGCAGGGGACCUUCGGGCCUUGCGCUAUCAGAUGAGCCUAGGUCGGAUUAGCUAGUUGGUGAGGUAAUGGCUCACCAAGGCGACGAUCCGUAACUGGUCUGAGAGGAUGAUCAGUCACACUGGAACUGAGACACGGUCCAGACUCCUACGGGAGGCAGCAGUGGGGAAUAUUGGACAAUGGGCGAAAGCCUGAUCCAGCCAUGCCGCGUGUGUGAAGAAGGUCUUCGGAUUGUAAAGCACUUUAAGUUGGGAGGAAGGGCAGUUACCUAAUACGUAUCUGUUUUGACGUUACCGACAGAAUAAGCACCGGCUAACUCUGUGCCAGCAGCCGCGGUAAUACAGAGGGUGCAAGCGUUAAUCGGAAUUACUGGGCGUAAAGCGCGCGUAGGUGGUUCGUUAAGUUGGAUGUGAAAGCCCCGGGCUCAACCUGGGAACUGCAUUCAAAACUGACGAGCUAGAGUAUGGUAGAGGGUGGUGGAAUUUCCUGUGUAGCGGUGAAAUGCGUAGAUAUAGGAAGGAACACCAGUGGCGAAGGCGACCACCUGGACUGAUACUGACACUGAGGUGCGAAAGCGUGGGGAGCAAACAGGAUUAGAUACCCUGGUAGUCCACGCCGUAAACGAUGUCAACUAGCCGUUGGGAGCCUUGAGCUCUUAGUGGCGCAGCUAACGCAUUAAGUUGACCGCCUGGGGAGUACGGCCGCAAGGUUAAAACUCAAAUGAAUUGACUGGGGCCCGCACAAGCGGUGGAGCAUGUGGUUUAAUUUCUAAGCAACGCGAAGAACCUUACCAGGCCUUGACAUCCAAUGAAUCUGCUAGAGAUAGCGGAGUGCCUUCGGGAACAUUGAGACAGGUGCUGCAUGGCUGUCGUCAGCU
rnacentral:rRNA from 1 species